rnacentral:lncRNA from 1 species
UUGCUAUGUUCGGCCAGCCUUCCACAUGACCAAGGACAUGAUGCCGGGGUCAUAUCCUAGGACCCCAGAAGAACGGGCCGCGGCCGCCAAGAAGUAUAAUAUGCGUGUGGAAGACUACGAGCCGUACCCAGAUGAUGGCAUGGGGUAUGGUGACUACCCGAUGCUCCCUAACCGCUCACAGCAUGAGAGGGAUCCGUGGUAUGAAUGGGACCACCCAGACCUCAGGCUGAACUGGGGUGAACCGAUACACUGGGACCUAGACAUGUACAUCAGGAAUCGUGUGGACACAUCUCCUACACCGGUUUCCUGGGAUGUCAUGUGUAGACAUCUCUUCGGCUUUGUGGCUUUCAUGGUUUUCAUGUUCUGGGUAGGGGACAUGUUCCCUUCCUACCAGCCUGUGGGUCCGAAGCAGUACCCGUACAAUAAUCUGUACCU